CUACGAUGGAGACAUGGUUCGAGUCCAACAGUUGAGCGACGCAUGAGAACGGAACAAUAAAAAUCACCUUUCGGCUGAGC
rnacentral:snoRNA from 1 species